AGAGGGAGGCUGUACCCUGCAAAGCCACAGGGGCAGAGUUGCCCAAGACCACGAACCCACCUGUUGGUAUCAGCACGAUCUCUAUGUGAGACCUGGAGUCAAAGGAGAUCAUUUUGGAGCUUUAAAAUUUGAAUGCAUGGGCCCUGUAACUCCUUUGUUUGGCCAGUUUCUCCCAUUUGGAAUGGUUGCAUUUACCCAAUGUCUGUACUCCCAUUGUAUCUAGGAAGUGACUAGCUUGCUUUUGAUUUUACAGGCUUAUAGGUAGAAGGGACUUGCCUCCAGAGGUAAUGGUAUUCCUCUUACCAAAUUGAAGGGUUAGCUCUGUAGAAAUGUUGAAUUUUAAAUGUUUUCCUUGUACCUGAUAGAAUUGCAUAGUGUUCCUGCAUCUUAUAUGAGAGGUAGUUUAAGGUGCUUCAUCAACUGUGGAUGGAAUCCUCAAAGUCCAGUCUCUGAUUGGCUGCCGGGGGCCUAAACAGGUUGAGUAUUUUAAUCAACUAUACAGGAGUCAACCAUCCCAAGAGUUAAAGAAUUGCAUAGAUACUUUAGUUUAAGGGAAAAAAAAUUCC
rnacentral:lncRNA from 1 species